rnacentral:rRNA from 1 species
GACGAACGCUGCCGGCGUGCUUAACACAUGCAAGUCGAACGGAAAGGCCCUGCUUUUGUGGGGUGCUCGAGUGGCGAACGGGUGAGUAACACGUGAGUAACCUGCCCUUGACUUUGGGAUAACUUCAGGAAACUUGGGCUAAUACCGGAUAGGAGCUCCUGCUGCAUGGUGGGGGUUGGAAAGUUUCGGCGGUUGGGGAUGGACUCGCGGCUUAUCAGCUUGUUGGUGGGGUAGUGGCUUACCAAGGCUUUGACGGGUAGCCGGCCUGAGAGGGUGACCGGCCACAUUGGGACUGAGAUACGGCCCAGACUCCUACGGGAGGCAGCAGUGGGGAAUAUUGCACAAUGGGCGGAAGCCUGAUGCAGCAACGCCGCGUGCGGGAUGACGGCCUUCGGGUUGUAAACCGCUUUCGCCUGUGACGAAGCGUGAGUGACGGUAAUGGGUAAAGAAGCACCGGCUAACUACGUG